rnacentral:lncRNA from 1 species
UGGUUUCGGAGACGUCGGCGUCACCGGCUUUGGCGAUGGUUUCGGAGACGUCGGCGUCACCGGCUUUGGUGAUGGUUUCGGAGACGUCGGCGUCACCGGCUUCGGUGAUGGUUUUGGAGAUGUCGGCGUCACUGGCUUUGGUGAUGGUUUUGGAGACGUCGGCGUCACCGGCUUUGGUGAUGGUUUCGGAGACGUCGGCGUCACUGGCUUUGGUGAUGAUUUCGGAGACGUCGGCGUCACCGGCUUCGGUGAUGGUUUUGGAGAUGUCGGCGUCACCGGCUUCGGUGAUGGUUUUGGAGAUGUCGGCGUCACCGGCUUUGGUGAAGAUUUCGGAGAUGAUGGUGUGGCUGGAGAUGGAGACGAAGAGCUCGGAGAAGACCCACAUUUAUCUUUACUGCAGUCCACAGGGCGAGUCAUCACCGGAAAACAUGUCUUCGUCGACUUCUGGCCGGGCC